UGAAUACAGAUUUGCAGCGGCUGAAGUU
rnacentral:piRNA from 1 species